GACGAACGCUGGCGGCGUGCCUAAUACAUGCAAGUUGAGCGCUGAAGGUUGGUACUUGUACCGACUGGAUGAGCAGCGAACGGGUGAGUAACGCGUGGGGAAUCUGCCUUUGAGCGGGGGACAACAUUUGGAAACGAAUGCUAAUACCGCAUAAAAACUUUAAACACAAGUUUUAAGUUUGAAAGAUGCAAUUGCAUCACUCAAAGAUGAUCCCGCGUUGUAUUAGCUAGUUGGUGAGGUAAAGGCUCACCAAGGCGAUGAUACAUAGCCGACCUGAGAGGGUGAUCGGCCACAUUGGGACUGAGACACGGCCCAAACUCCUACGGGAGGCAGCAGUAGGGAAUCUUCGGCAAUGGACGAAAGUCUGACCGAGCAACGCCGCGUGAGUGAAGAAGGUUUUCGGAUCGUAAAACUCUGUUGGUAGAGAAGAACGUUGGUGAGAGUGGAAAGCUCAUCAAGUGACGGUAACUACCCAGAAAGGGACGGCUAACUACGCG
rnacentral:rRNA from 1 species